rnacentral:sRNA from 2 species
CGAAGCGAGAGAACGUUGCGCCAGCAACGGCCCGCAGGGCGAGCCACGAAGUGGCGAGUAAUCCUCUAUCACCGACCA